rnacentral:rRNA from 1 species
AUUGAACGCUGGCGGCAGGCCUAACACAUGCAAGUCGAGCGGAUGAGAAGAGCUUGCUCUUCGAUUCAGCGGCGGACGGGUGAGUAAUGCCUAGGAAUCUGCCUGGUAGUGGGGGACAACGUUUCGAAAGGAACGCUAAUACCGCCUACGUCCUACGGGAGAAAGCAGGGGACCUUCGGGCUUGGCGCUAUCAGCUGAGCCUAGGUCGGAUUAGCUAGUUGGUGAGGUAAUGGGUCACCAAGGCGACGAUCCGGAACUGGUCUGAGAGGAUGAUCAGUCACACUGGAACUGAGACACGGUCCAGACUCCUACGGGAGGCAGCAGUGGGGAAUAUUGGACAAUGGGCGAAAGGCUGAUCCAGCCAUGCCGCGUGUGUGAAGAAGGUCUUCGGAUUGUAAAGCACUUUAAGUUGGGAGGAAGGGCAGUAAGCUAAUACCUUGCUGUUUUGACGUUACCGACAGAAUAAGCACCGGCUAACUCUGUGCCAGCCGCCGCAGUAAGAC